CAGAAAAGCAGAUAAAAUAAGUAUUAUAAGCUCAGAACACCAAAUUACUCUAGUGACAACAGUUGUCAACCUAACUGAAGGAAAUUGAACAGCAUAAUAAAGACACAGUUGACCAUAUCUGACAAUCGGUCCCAGAUAUGCAACAACCAGGUAGAAGUAGACAUGGAGAGACUUUACAUAAGGAUAUGCACGUAACUCGAUAUGACAUUAAGCCUAGCAAGAAUAGA